rnacentral:rRNA from 1 species
AACACGUAAAGAACCUGCCCUCAGGUCUGGGAUAACCACGAGAAAUCGGGGCUAAUACCGGAUGGGUCAUCGGACCGCAUGGUCCGAGGGUGAAAGACGCUUCGGCGUCGCCUGGGGAUGGCUUUGCGGUGCAUUAGCUAGUUGGUGGGGUAAUGGCCCACCAAGGCGACGAUGCAUAGCCGACCUGAGAGGGUGAUCGGCCACACUGGGACUGAGACACGGCCCAGACUCCUACGGGAGGCAGCAGUAGGGAAUCUUCCACAAUGGACGAAAGUCUGAUGGAGCAACGCCGCGUGAACGAUGAAGGCCUUCGGGUCGUAAAGUUCUGUUGUAAGGGAAGAACAAGUGCCGCAGGCAAUGGCGGCACCUUGACGGUACCUUGCGAGAAAGCCACGGCUAACUACGUGCCAGCAGCCGCGGUAAUACGUAGGUGGCAAGCGUUGUCCGGAAUUAUUGGGCGUAAAGCGCGCGCAGGCGGCCUCUUAAGUCUGAUGUGAAAGCCCCCGGCUCAACCGGGGAGGGCCAUUGGAAACUGGGAGGCUUGAGUAUAGGAGAGAAGAGUGGAAUUCCACGUGUAGCGGUGAAAUGCGUAGAGAUGUGGAGG